GUGCCCAUUUUGGCAGCACAUACACUAAAAUUGGAACAAUAGUGAACUUUAGCAUGGCCUCUGCACAAAGAUGCCACGCAAAUUUGUGAAGUGUUCCAUAAUAAA